UGGCGGACGGGUGAGUAAUGUCUGGGAAACUGCCUGGUGGAGGGGGAUAACUACUGGAAACGGUAGCUAAUACCGCAUAACGUCGCAAGACCAAAGAGGGGACCUUCGGGCCUCUUGCCAUCGGAUGUGCCCAGAUGGGAUUAGCUAGUAGGUGGGGUAAUGGCUCACCUAGGCGACGAUCCCUAGCUGGUCUGAGAGGAUGACCAGCCACACUGGAACUGAGACACGGUCCAG
rnacentral:rRNA from 1 species